rnacentral:lncRNA from 1 species
UAUGAAGUCGUUUUUCAAAGGGAGGAAUUAUCAACUUCACUCUCUUACGUCACUAACACACAACACAAACGCACUUCACACUCACUCAACACCUCACACAACACACCCGCACACACAAGUCACAUAAAGGGACACAAAAACGCAGUUGCUGCGCAACCUGCCAGCGCCAAAAAAAAAAAAUUAUUUCUUCUCCAACCAUCAUUCUCAUGAGAUCAGGUAUGCUUUUAUCUAGUUCUCUCUUCUCCUCUUCUCUUCCUCUCCCUUGUAGUACUUUUGUUUUCUUUUUCUAUGGUUCUUUUAUGUGGAGUUGAGAGCACAAACUGUGCAGUUGUUGUUGGCUGAUUGAUAUGCAAGUAUGAUCAUUUAAACUAUAAUUCCAUUAAGUUGGGAGUGUAGUUCAAUUAUUUACUGUAUUCAAAGAGCUUGGUUAAAGUUCCGCCUGCAACCUGUUCGAUUGAAUUGUCUGAGAGAGGAUUUUAUUUUCCGGUGAAGUCUUGAGUAACCGAGCGCUAUUAGGAGUUGAUUAGGAGUAAGUUUGGGGUUUCUAGGUACUAUAUGGGCUGCUUGGUCAGCUUUCUUGAGCCAGGACUGUGAUAGGGAGUCUUUUGACGUUGAAUUGUUCUACAUUGACCGAAAAUGAUGUGUGGGAAAGCUUUAAUUGGUGCUGACUUGUGUCUUGAUCAACUGUUGUCGCGCUUCAAUUUUCGAGUUACAUUAGCUGUCAAAUUGUGCCCUCGCUUACUAUCUGUAGCUGCUGAAUAUUCUUAGUUGAAAAAGAAAAUUACAUCAACACAUGAAAAUGGAAUAGAAGGUAGUCUGAAUGUAGAUGGUUGUGCAGGAGAAAUGGGUUUAUUUUUUGCAAGUCUCUGUUCUUGUGCGUCUUAAGAGUCGAACAUUUUCUUCUUUAGGCUGAAUUUUUUUUUCUUUGGAUACAAGAUUCUGGUUUGCACUGCUAAAUGGAGGAAUUGUUGCUUGCUUAUUUUCGAUAGUUGUGAUGUUAAAACUCUGUCCAAAGAACCUGCAAAAUCUGAUUUUAUUGUUUUAAAAGAGAAUCCAUUGUUAGAAAUGUUAUUUUUGAGGGAAGUUGGAUUCAAGAGGCUUGUGAUGAAUAUUUUAACUUACUUAGAUGAUAAUGUUUUAUCUGAAAUGGAAAGAAAGAUGAAAGUUUUUUGAAGCUGAUUUCGAAUGCCAAUGGGACGGGUUGCCUGAAAGUCCUUGAAACUGUGACUAUCUUUGGAGGCUACAUAUAUAGUAAAUUUGAAAGACAUAUUAUUGGUUGCUAAUUGUCUGCUUAUUCUUUAAAAUAAAAUACAGUUCCUUUCCCUAUUGCAUAAAAGUUAAAUCAUAAAUACAAUUGAUUAAUAGACCAUGAUGAAUAGAAGCAAACAGUAGACCAAUUAUGCUUUGAGCUCAUAUAAGUUAGCUGCUGUAAUCAGAUUGCGUUCAACUACUGCAAUUGGGAGAAGAAUAAGAACUUGCAGAGUAGCAAGAAGACGAAAAAGCAGCAUCUGUGCGUAAUUUAUUCUCUAACUAAAAAAAGGGUAGUCCGGUGCACUAAACUCCCGCUAUGCGUAAUUUAUGCUCUGACCAAACUUUUAAUAUUAGAUAUGUUUUAAAUAACAGCCCUAGAAGUGGCUACUUUGAAUACUGAAUAAUAUGUUUUAAAUACCAGCUCUAAAAAUGGCUAUUGGUGCACUUAGCCCCCAAAAUUUAGAGACCUGGUAGGGCUAAGAUUUGACAGAAGCGAGGAGCAUGUCUUUUGAACCGAAGCGAAGGAAAAUUGACGGUGAACCUCCACGCAGGGCUAUCAUUCCGCCACCUAAGAGAAAAGCAACAACCUCUAGCGUGGUGAUUGCAGAACAAACAAGCAGCUUCACUAAUCUCAGGCUACAACAGGCUAAGAAUUC